rnacentral:rRNA from 1 species
GUAAUAGUUAUGUUCUUGAAACUCAAAGAAUUUGGCGGUGUUUUAGUCUUUUCAGAGGAACCUGUCCCGUAAUCGAUAAUCCACGUUAAACCUUACUUAUUUUUGUUAACAGCUUGUAUACCGCCGUCGUCAGAAUGUCCUAAGAAGGUUUUAAUUUUCUUAAAUUUUUAUUAAAAAUGAUGUCAGGUCAAGGUGUAGCUUACGGAUAAGUGGAGAUGGGUUACAAUAAAUUUAUUUAUGACGGAUAAGUUUUUGAAAUAAAUCUUUGAAGGUGGAUUUGAUAGUAAUUAAAUUAAUAAAAUUAUUUUGAUUUUAGCUCUAAAACAUGCACACAUCGCCCG